rnacentral:tRNA from 1 species
GCUAAUAUGGCAGAUUAAUUGUAUCAAAUUUAGAAUUUGAAGAUGCUACUAGCUAUUAGUA